CCCCACAGUGAUGUAACUCUCAGUCCCCUCAAAUGAGAAACCCUUUUCCCUCCCUCCUCUUAUUUUGACACAGGUUUUCUGUAUGCAGUACAGGCUGCCAAGACUGGUGACUCUCCUACCCCCAACUGAGUGUUGGGGCUACAGAUGACCUGUCUUUCUACUGAGAGUCUUCUGAAGGACCACAAACACGAGCUGUGGCCAGACACCACUUUUCUUCUGAAGCUGCUCCGUGGGACAGAAUGGAAGGCAGAAGCCUCCUCAUUGCAUGUCCACAGCAGCAGCUGAUGACAGUUGGAAGAUGGAGCCUCAAACCCAUGGCUUGAAGAAUGCCAUGGAAGCCCACCACAACCUCAUAUUCCUCGAGAAUCACAAUGCCUUUCCCAUGGAGAGAUGAAAACAGCAUCCAGAUGUGUAGUGAAUAUUUCCUGUGAUUCACAUCUGGAAUUGGCUGAGCAUUGAGUCAUCUCUUGUGCAGUGUACUGAGGAGCUGUUCAAGCUGGGCUGUCCUGAUGUCCCUGAACCAAUUUCAUAGACACACUGCUGCUCCUGGACAUGCCCUCCACAAUAGAGAUGACUGGGUUGUGAGUCAAGACUGUGAAAUCCAUACCUGGAGCAGACUGGCCUUUGUCUCACAGACAGUUGCCUGCUUCUGUCUCCCAAGUGCUGGGAUCAGAGGCGUGCACCACCACAAACACGACCACACUUGACUGCAGGUGCUUCAACCUUGCUGGACUUGA